rnacentral:snRNA from 1 species
GUGCUCACUUUGGAAGUAUGUUUGCUAAAAUUGGAAAGACAGAGAAGAUUGACCUGGCCCCUGCGCAAGGAUGUUGUGCAAAUUCGUGAAGCAUUCCAUAUUUUU